AGUUUGAUCCUGGCUCAGGAUGAACGCUAGCUACAGGCUUAACACAUGCAAGUCGAGGGGCAUCAGGAAGAAAGCUUGCUUUCUUUGCUGGCGACCGGCGCACGGGUGAGUAACACGUAUCCAACCCGCCGAUGACUCGGGGAUAGCCUUUCGAAAGAAAGAUUAAUACCCGAUGGUAUAUCUGAAAGGCAUCUUUCAGCUAUUAAAGAAUUUCGGUCAUUGAUGGGGAUGCGUUCCAUUAGGUUGUUGGCGGGGUAACGGCCCACCAAGCCAUCGAUGGAUAGGGGUUCUGAGAGGAAGGUCCCCCACAUUGGAACUGAGACACGGUCCAAACUCCUACGGGAGGCAGCAGUGAGGAAUAUUGGUCAAUGGACGAGAGUCUGAACCAGCCAAGUAGCGUGAAGGAUGACUGCCCUAUGGGUUGUAAACUUCUUUUAUACGGGAAUAAAGUUGGGCACGUGUGCCUUUUUGUAUGUACCGUAUGAAUAAGGAUCGGCUAACUCCGUGCCAGCAGCCGCGGUAAUACGGAGGAUCCGAGCGUUAUCCGGAUUUAUUGGGUUUAAAGGGAGCGUAGGCGGAUGCUUAAGUCAGUUGUGAAAGUUUGCGGCUCAACCGUAAAAUUGCAGUUGAUACUGGGUGUCUUGAGUACAGUAGAGGCAGGCGGAAUUCGUGGUGUAGCGGUGAAAUGCUUAGAUAUCACGAAGAACUCCGAUUGCGAAGGCAGCUUGCUGGACUGUAACUGACGCUGAUGCUCGAAAGUGUGGGUAUCAAACAGGAUUAGAUACCCUGGUAGUCCACACAGUAAACGAUGAAUACUCGCUGUUUGCGAUAUACAGUAAGCGGCCAAGCGAAAGCGUUAAGUAUUCCACCUGGGGAGUACGCCGGCAACGGUGAAACUCAAAGGAAUUGACGGGGGCCCGCACAAGCGGAGGAACAUGUGGUUUAAUUCGAUGAUACGCGAGGAACCUUACCCGGGCUUAAAUUGCAAAUGAAUGUUCUGGAAACAGAUCAGCCGCAAGGCAUUUGUGAAGGUGCUGCAUGGUUGUCGUCAGCUCGUGCCGUGAGGUGUCGGCUUAAGUGCCAUAACGAGCGCAACCCUUAUCGAUAGUUACCAUCAGGUUAUGCUGGGGACUCUGUCGAGACUGCCGUCGUAAGAUGUGAGGAAGGUGGA
rnacentral:rRNA from 1 species